UUUCCUAUUCAUUGUACUACCUAAACACCUAAUUUAAAAGUUUAAUUGAUUUUGUUAUUAUUAAGUCAUGUUCAUAUGAAAUGAAAAGAAAAAGCAUAUCACAAGAUUUUGAAUCAGAAAACCUGAAUUCAAUUAAUGUUCUGUCAAAUUAUGAAUAUGUAUGUUUGUUUUGAGUAUUUGGUAGAAGGAAUUUAAUUUGGUGGAGGUUGGGGGAAGAAGAAGACCUAUGAGUUCAAUUGUAUGUUCUCUGAGAUCCCUUCUAACUCUGAAAUUCUGUGAUUACAUUUACCUGGCUCAGGAAUAUGACAUAAAUUCACAAGUAUGCACUAAGCAAAGUGGAAUGAGAACCAACUCUGGAGUAAAAAAAUGAGUUCAAAUCCUGCUUUUGUCAUGGCCUUUUUAAUCUCAGAUGAGAAGGAAAUGGUAAACCACUACAGUAUCCUUGAUAAGAAAACCCAAAAUGGAGUCAUGAAAAGCCAGACAUCAUUGAAAUGAGUAAACAACAACAAAAAGGAUACCCAAAUGUCAGGAUAAGACCUGAGACUAAUUUGAUUCUAAUGCAGAAGAUUCUGAGAACCAGAAGCCAUGGGAGUUGGAAUGCCCAUUGGAUCCUACUGCAACAUGAAGGAAUACGUCCUACACUGUAAGAAAGGGAGUUGCUUUCCAGCCAGUCUUCCUUAUGAGGAGAGGACUGAGGGGACAUCUUUAUGGCUAUUGAAGUGGAAGAGUGCAUCAGAUGGAUGACCCCCAUGAGUUAACUGAGUGAAUUACAGUGGAAUCUGGUAAAAUUUAGCAGUCACAUUUUAGCUCAAGAAGUCAUUUGAACCCCAAACUCCAGAAGCCGUCAGGAAGAGAACUGCAGAAAAGGUUGCCUGAACUCUAUGCAAAGUUUAAAUGCUGCUAUUUACAGAGCUCUGCUCUUUUGACCUCAUCAUCUAGGAUCAUUUUACUCACUCCGUAACAGAUAUUUAAACACAUCUUAGCCCCAACACACAAUUCCGGGUUGACUAGGACUUUUUUUCUUUUUAUCAUUUUAACAAUAGAAUAAAAUAGAUGCAUUCUGGGAAGUUUGGGUGCUA
rnacentral:lncRNA from 1 species